CGCUGGCGGCGUGCCUAAUACAUGCAAGUCGAGCGCGGGAAGCGGACUCGUCACCCUUCGGGGUGUCUAGUCCGUGGAACGAGCGGCGGAUGGGUGAGUAUCACGUGGGCAACCUGCCUGUAAGAUUGGGAUAACUCGCGGGAACGUGAGCUAAUACCGAAUGAAGUCUUUCACCGCCUGGUGAAAGGAUGAAAGAUGGCUUUUAGCUAUCACUUACAGAUGGGCCCGCGGCGCAUUAGCUAGUUGGUGGGGUAAAGGCCUACCAAGGCGACGAUGCGUAGCCGACCUGAGAGGUGAUCGGCCACACUGGGACUGAGACACGGCCCAGACUCCUACGGGAGGCAGCAGUAGGGAAUCUUCCGCAAUGGACGAAAGUCUGACGGAGCAACGCCGCGUGAGUGAUGAAGGUCUUCGGAUCGUAAAACUCUGUUGUCAGGGAAGAACAAGUUAUGUUCUAACAGGACAUGACCUUGACGGUACCUGACCAGAAAGCCCCGGCUAACUACGUGCCAGCAGCCGC
rnacentral:rRNA from 1 species